rnacentral:rRNA from 1 species
AUUGAACGCUGGCGGCAGGCCUAACACAUGCAAGUCGGACGGUAGCACAGAGGAGCUUGCUCCUCGGGUGACGAGUGGCGGACGGGUGAGUAAUGUCUGGGGAUCUGCCCGAUAGAGGGGGAUAACCACUGGAAACGGUGACUAAUACCGCAUAACGUCGCAAGACCAAAGAGGGGGACCUUCGGGCCUCUCACUAUCGGAUGAACCCAGAUGGGAUUAGCUAGUAGGCGGGGUAACGGCCCACCUAGGCGACGAUCCCUAGCUGGUCUGAGAGGAUGACCAGCCACACUGGAACUGAGACACGGUCCAGACUCCUACGGGAGGCAGCAGUGGGGAAUAUUGCACAUGGGCGCAAGCCUGAUGCAGCCAUGCCGCGUGUAUGAAGAAGGCCUUCGGGUUGUAAAGUACUUUCAGCGGGGAGGAAGGCGAUGUGGUUAAUAACCGCGUCGAUUGACGUUACCCGCAGAAGAAGCACCGGCUAACUCCGUGCCAGCAGCCGCCGUAA